rnacentral:misc_RNA from 1 species
UGAUUCCUUGAUGGAAAUUUACGUAUGCUGUUGUGGAAAUAACAUUGAACUUUCCCUUUUACUUUUAUUAGCAAAUAGAAUCAUUAUAAAAAAGGCAGUGGGAUUUUUUCUCGUAAUUACCAUUUUCUUAGUCUGUACACGGGUAACAAUAAUAGUCUCUGUAUUGCCAAAGAAAUAAAUUUAACAAUGGCCAUAUAAAAUAAAUUUAGCAAUUUUGUGUAUAUGUGGGUUUAUUCGUGUAUAAAUCCUGUAUUUACUAAAUCAGGAUAUCAAUAGGGAACACAUAGUAAAUAAAAUAUAAUUUCAUAAAAAAAUUUAUACGAAAUGAUAUUAUGUGCUCUAUGAAAAAGAUAAUUUCCUCAAACUUACAAAACGUGCUCCAAAACUUAAUACUAUAAAGAACAAUUCUCCAAAAUUUAUGAAACAAAAAAUAUUAGAGAAUGAAAUACAAGGCAUGAAACAUACUGCUACCGGAUUUCCUGAAAGCGUAUGAAAUUUGGGAUCAUUCAUAUUUGUAGCAUAAAUAUAUUGGGGGGCUCACUUGAUGGCAUUUGGCAUAUGUGAAAAUUUUAAGGACGAUGAAAAUUUCUUAAGGAAAUGUAUGCACCAUGUCUAAUUAUAUAUCUUACUGGCUAAAUACGUACAUUUUUUUUUAUUAGAAUGCCUUGUUUUAUCAUGUGGAAUUGGAUCACUUUGAAGUUCCUAUUGAGGUGGAAUUGGCUUCUUUUAUAUAAAAUUGAUGCCAACUCAGUUAUUGGGAUGUGAUAAAAAACGGGCGCAAAUUAGAACUUGAUGGAGAUGGCAGUGGCUUCUACUAUAUUAAGUUUAAUUCCAAAUUUACGGAUGUCAAAUUUUCCCUUAAGUCCAGGUCUAGGGCACUACUAUGCUGCAGAUUACUGGGGUUUGAGCGUUUUGAUUGGGCAUUUUGCUUUUCUCAAUGCUGCUGAGUUCCAGAUGGGGGUUGGGUCCUGGGAAUUCCCUUACUGUCUCAUCUCUGUGAGUAGUUGUGGAUAUGGAUGGGGAUAUCUAAGCAUUUGCAAAUACAUGGGAUUUACAUAUAAAACAAAUGAAUAGUUAUGAGAAUUUUUAUUCUGUUUAUGGUCAUAUUUCAAUCACUGGAUGAGAAUUUUCUAAUUGAGAUUUACAAGCAUGUUCAGAAUAUAAAAAUUAUCUAGAAAGAUUAAUUGAUAGCAAAUUAGCUACCAACAAUUCUAAGAAUAUACUAAACGUCGCUUUAUUUUCCAAAAGCAUAUACCCUGGCCCCCUAGUUCGAGAAAUCUGUUCAUUUAAGGGGAAACUUCAUUAUAUUUGAGACGUGUCAAUGAAGUAGUUGUCUGAUCUGAAAUUACACAUGGUGUUGAGCAGCCAGAAAUGUCAAAAAUUCUCUUUUAUCCCCAAACAAUCCCUCUUGGAAUGGGAAGCAAUGGAAGUGUGCAGGUUUUCAUACGUGGGACUUUUGAGUAAUGGUGGAGAUGUGGUGAGCGGGGACAGUGGCUUUUGUGGUAAUGGUGAAGGCGGCAAAUUUGUUGGUGUGGUUGUGCUGAAGAUAGUACUUUUUUCUGGGAGUAAAGACCUGAACCACGAUGAAAUGCCCCCCAUUUUGAGUAUAGAAGGAUUCUGGAUGACUAGGUGGGAAAAUGCUAGCAAAUGUAACCUAGCAUGUGAAUUAUGCAAAAAUUUUAAAACAAAAAGAAUUUGCUAUCACAAAAAAAGGAGCAUUCAACUAUUUAUGGAACUUGAUAUCAUUUAGAGUGCUCCCUUUUAAUUACCUCCUAAUUAAGUGCACUGUGGCAAAUACCUCAACCCAACUUGGCUAUAAGAGAGAAAUGUAAUUUUCAUUUUAAGUCAUUCUACUUUGUCCCAACUUCCAAACGAUUGAUUAGAUUAAUUAAAGCAUGAUUGAUUUUCAGUCAUAAACUGGUCUUCAAUAAGACUUGGUUUCUUUUUUUGUCUUGUAUUGAUCUUCUUUCCAUUUUUAAGCCAUGCUAGCAAGUAGGAAGAAUGAAGUGGAUAUUAUGGAUGGCUCUGUGUACUUUUUUAAUUUGUUUGUUUGCUUGCUGAAUUAUAAUGAAG